rnacentral:rRNA from 1 species
UACGUAGGGGGCAAGCGUUGUCCGGAAUCAUUGGGCGUAAAGAGCGUGUAGGUGGCCCGGUCAGUCCGCCGUGAAAGUCCAGGGCUCAACCCUGGAAUGCCGGUGGAUACUGGCGGGCUGGAGUCCGGAAGAGGCGAGUGGAAUUCCUGGUGUAGCGGUGAAAUGCGCAGAUAUCAGGAGGAACACCAAUGGCGAAGGCAGCUCGCUGGGACGGUACUGACACUGAGACGCGAAAGCGUGGGGAGCAAACAGG